AGGAGGAACUGCCCCAGUGGCGGGGCAGCUCUGGAAACCUGGAUUCAGUCCCCGCAGUAACUCCAGAGCUCUCCGUCUGCAGGGCCUGGAGGCUCCGGGCGGGG
rnacentral:pre_miRNA from 1 species